rnacentral:rRNA from 1 species
GUGAGGAAUUUUCCGCAAUGGGCGAAAGCCUGAUCCAGCCAUGCCGCGUGAACGAUGAAGGCCUUCGGGUUGUAAAGUUCUUUAGCCGAUGAUUAUAAUGACUGUAGUCGGAAAAUAAGCCCCGGCUAACUUCGUGCCAGCAGCCGCGGUAAUACGAAGGGGGCGAGCGUUAUUCGGAAUCACUGGGCGUAAAGCGUGCGUAGGCGGUUUUGUAAGUUAGGAGUGAAAGCCCAGGGCUCAACCUUGGAAUUGCUCUUAAAACUGCAAGGCUCGAAUCUCGGAGAGGAUAGCGGAAUUUCCAGUGUAGCAGUGAAAUGCGUAGAUAUUGGAAGGAACACCAGUGGCGUAAGCGGCUAUCUGGACGAGUAUUGACGCUGAGGCACGAAAGCGUGGGGAUCAAACAGGAUUAGAUACCCGAGUAGUCC